UACGUAGGGUGCGAGCGUUAAUCGGAAUUACUGGGCGUAAAGCGUGCGCAGGCGGUUCUCCAAGUCCGUUGUGAAAGCCCCGGGCUCAACCUGGGAAUGGCAGUGGAAACUAGGGGACUGGAAUCUGGCAGAGGGGGGUGGAAUGCCGCGUGUAGCAGUGAAAUGCGUAGAGAUGCGGCGGAACACCGAUGGCGAAGGCGGCUCUCUGGUCGACAUCUGACGCUGAGACGCGAAAGCGUGGGGAGCGAACGGG
rnacentral:rRNA from 1 species